rnacentral:rRNA from 1 species
CAGUAGCCGCGGUAAUACGGAGGGAGCUAGCGUUGUUCGGAAUUACUGGGCGUAAAGCGCACGUAGGCGGCUAUUCAAGUCAGGGGUGAAAGCCCGGGGCUCAACCCCGGAACUGCCUUUGAAACUAGAUAGCUUGAAUCUUGGAGAGGCGAGUGGAAUUCCGAGUGUAGAGGUGAAAUUCGUAAAUAUUCGGAAGAACACCAGUGACGAAGGCGACUCGCUGGACAAGUAUUGACGCUGAGGUGCGAAAGCGUGGGGAGCAAACAGGAUUAGAUACCCCAGUAGUCCCUGUCUCUUAUAC